rnacentral:rRNA from 1 species
CGAUGAAGAACGCAGCGAAAUGCGAUAAGUAAUGUGAAUUGCAGAUUUUCAGUGAAUCAUCGAAUCUUUGAACGCACCUUGCGCUCCUUGGUAUUCCGAGGAGCAUGCCUGUUUGAGUGUCAUUAAAUUCUCAACUCUGAUCGAUUGUUUCGACUUCGGAGNCUUGGAUUUGGAGCGUGCUGGCGUCGGUCGGCUCCUCUUAAAUGCAUCAGCGGAAUCUAACGUUUCGGACGUCAGUGUGAUAAUCAUGUUGCGCUGUCUGUCUGAUCUGAAAGCCCGCUCACAAUGGUCUUCGGACAACUUCAUAUCAAAUUUGACCUCAAAUCAGGUAGGACUACCCGCUGAACUUAA